rnacentral:rRNA from 1 species
AUUGAACGCUGGCGGCAUGCUUUACACAUGCAAGUCGAACGGUAGAGGGGGCAACCCCUUGAGAGUGGCGAACGGGUGAGUAAUGCAUCGGAACGUGCCCAGUCGUGGGGGAUAACGCAGCGAAAGCUGUGCUAAUACCGCAUACGAUCUCUGGAUGAAAGCGGGGGACCGAAAGGCCUCGCGCGAUCGGAGCGGCCGAUGUCAGAUUAGGUAGUUGGUGGGGUAAAGGCUCACCAAGCCAACGAUCUGUAGCUGGUCUGAGAGGACGACCAGCCACACUGGGACUGAGACAUGGCCCAGACUCCUACGGGAGGCAGCAGUGGGGAAUUUUGGACAAUGGGCGCAAGCCUGAUCCAGCAAUGCCGCGUGCAGGAAGAAGGCCUUCGGGUUGUAAACUGCUUUUGUACGGAACGAAAAGGUCUGGGUUAAUACCCUGGGCACAUGACGGUACCGUAAGAAUAAGCACCGGCUAACUACGUGCCAGCCGCCGCAGUAA